CUUCACCCGAAUAUUUGGUUGGGAGAUUUCAAACAAACUUGUACUCUUUAUUCAUGCUCGUCGUAAAUUUAUGGAAACAAAUGGAGCUGGAAGUUUAUAGCAAACCUGGCAAAAGUGAGCAGUGGUGUAGAAUAAGCUGAAAAAGUAAUUGUUCCUGGCAAACUCAAGUUCUAAGAGACAAUUGGAAGAAGUGUUAACAAAACCAAGAUGGAUUGUAUUAAUCAGUGGCAAAGGAAGAGGUAUACUUCUUUCAUUACUAAGGAGGUGAGCUUCUCUUACUGAGAACUGCACUACUUUGGUUAUACCCUUUAAACCCAGAAAACAUAGAAGGUGGAGGCAGUGAACAGCUGCGGUUCCUUGAAGAAGAAAUCUCAGCACCAAAGAGAUUGUACCUAAUACAUCUGUGGAAGUGACUG
ensembl:lncRNA